UGGGCUGUAGCUCAGUGGCAGAGCAUUGCCUGGUGUGGCUAAAGCCCUGGGCUCAAUCCCCAGCACCACAC
rnacentral:tRNA from 1 species